UCUCCGCCUCCUACAGAGUGAAACAUCCUGUCACUCAGUCUACUCUCCGCAGCUGUAGUCCGAGUGACUUCCGGGACAGAUCAGCUCCUCCACGCAGCCCUGGUUCUCCGCCUGAUGCUCCCCCAUACUCCGUCUGCUAGUCCUCCUCGGUCCCGCUCCUCAGCUCCGGUCAUUUCGAGCCGACUCGCCCGCCUCUGCCUCCCGCUUCCAGAACCAGAACCAGAACCAGCCGGAGACUCGGAGCGCCGACUGGUCCCCAACCGACAGCGGAGCCUAGCCGGGAGGCUAGCGGAGUUAGCUGUGCAGGCAGCGGGUGAGAGUUCGGUCCCGACGAGGGAGAGAGCGCAGCAUGUCGGGUGGCAGCAGCAGUAAGGCCGGGGAGGUUCCGACCCGGAGUCAGAGUGAAGCCAACAGAAAGUUGAAGUACAUCAGCCUGGCUGUCCUGGUGGUCCAGAAUGCCUCGCUCAUCCUCAGCAUCCGCUACGUCCGCACGUUGCCGGGCGACCGCUUCUUCACCACAUCAGCCGUCGUUAUGGCGGAGGUCCUGAAGGUGGCGACGUGCCUGCUCAUCGUUUUGCUGCAGAAGAGAUGCGCCCUGAAGGAGACGCUGUGGUUCCUGCUGGACUCUGUCAUCCUGCAGUACCAGGACACGCUGAAGCUCGCCGUGCCGUCGCUCAUCUAUACGCUACAGAACAACCUGCAGUACGUCGCCAUCUCCAACCUGCCGGCCGCCACCUUCCAGGUGACCUACCAGCUGAAGAUCCUCACCACAGCGCUCUUCAGCGUCUUGAUGCUCAGGAAGUCUCUGUCCAGAGUCCAGUGGGUUUCCCUGCUGCUGCUCUUCGCCGGCGUCGCCAUCGUCCAGGUGCAGCAGGAGGGAAAGAAGGAGGCGGCGGUGGCUGACGCCUCCAACCAGAACUAUAUGGUGGGUCUGGUUGCCGUGGUGAUCAGCUGCCUGUCGUCUGGCUUCGCCGGCGUUUACUUUGAGCGGAUCUUGAAGGGCAGCUCUGCGUCGGUGUGGAUGAGGAACGUGCAGCUGGGCAUCUUCGGCACGGCGCUUGGACUGCUGGGAAUGUGGUGGAACGACGGCGCCGCCGUGGCCGAGCGCGGCUUCCUGUUCGGCUACACCGGCAUGGUGUGGUGCGUCAUCUUCAACCAGGCGUUCGGUGGGCUGCUGGUGGCCGUGGUGGUGAAGUACGCCGACAACAUCCUGAAGGGCUUCGCCACUUCCUUCUCCAUCAUCGUUUCCACGGUGAUGUCCGUCUACCUGUUUGGCUUCCACGUGGACUUGCUGUUCACCGCGGGGGCGGGGCUCGUCAUCGGCGCCGUCUACAUGUACAGCCUCCCCAAGGCGCCCGGCGGCCUCCCAUGCCCCGAACCCUCCUCUUCCUCUGCAUCCGUUGAGCCGCCGAGGGCGGGCAGAGGCGGCGAGAUGGAGGCGUUUCUGCCAAAUUUGGAAUUGGGACAAAAAUCAGCCUGAAUCGAUGUCUAACUAAAGCUGAAACGCCUCCAGGUGCGAAUACCUGGCUAAAGGGUUAGCUCAUUAGUAGAGCUAAUGCUAACGAACUACAGGUGAGGCAGUUUAAGCCUCAGCAGAGCGAAACGUUUAGCCUGUUGCUUCCCAGCCGGGUCAAAGGUCAGGAUCAGACUAACGCUCCAAUAAAUCACCAGAGAUAAACAUCUUGUUUAGAAUUAACACAUUUCUUACUAAUGUUUCGACAUUAAUAUAUUUCACUAUAUUUUUAUAUUCUAAUUAUUUUAAAAAUACACCAAAUCUAAUUAAAAGGAUGUAGAAAAGCUACUUGUGAAUCCAUGACUGGAAAACCAUCAGAAAGUUUUUACUUCCUGGUUCCCUUCAGGUGAAACUCGAUUUUCCAGUUUCACUCCAACUAUUAUCACGAAACUACAAAAAUUACAUUUCUAUUGUAUUUCUGUCAACUUCCCUGAGAAAUUCCUCAAAUAUUCCAGUUUGUGACAAAAAUGGAUUUCUGCUGCAGCAGGCGGGAUCCGAACCCAGGUCACGACCUCUCCAGGUCAGUGUGCUGGUCUUACUGGGAGGACUGGUUUUUGACCUGUUUGUGGAUCUCAUUGAUCAGAUCUGAUUAGUUUUCAUCAAUAGUCCUGAAAGUUCGGGCCUGGUUCUGGAGGUGCGGUCCAGGGUCGAACACAGGAAGUUCCUGGUGCUCUGCAGGUUUCAGGGGUUCUAAGAUCCGGAAGCGGCAGGUUUGGACCAGAACCUUCUGGACCGCAGUCGACAAGGACAGAAUAACGGAGAUUCAUUUCAUCUCCAUAAGAAGGAGUCACCUGGAGAUGAUCAUGAAAUUCAGAGUUUCUCAGAGAGAACUUCCUGUUUAAAGGACUUCCUGUUUGUAGAACUUCCUGUCCCAGAAGUCGGUCUUCUCUUCGGAUGAGGCCAUGAAGGAACCGUCUUCUGGCUAUUCUUCUCCUGAUCUCUUUUCUAAUCUUCCUCUUCCUCUAUCCGUCCUGCAGGUGUUCAGGAAAAGAGAAAGGAUCCUGAAAUGGACAGCUACCACUUCCUGUCUACUGAGGUCAUGACCUUUCAAAUUAAGAUGCCAGACAGCAUCACUCCAACAUCUUCUGGACUUGAAAACGGUUCGGUUCUGCUCUCCAGCACCAUAGAAGUCACACCAUAAACCGUUCUUUCAGUUUGUUUUUAGGUGAAACACAUGAAGUCUCAUCAUCUCAUUGUGAUGAAAAGCUGAUGGUUCUGGAUUCAGGGUUUUAUCUGAAGAAGAAAAUAAGGAGAACUUUGUGAAGUGACUUUUUGUGGACCUUCACAAUAAGAGCAGAAACUAAAGAUCAACUUUCUGAUCCUUCAUUUCUUUGCUUCUUCUUGGCUUCGUAUCGUUCAGUUUCGUUCUGUUUUCGG